rnacentral:misc_RNA from 1 species
UCUACUAGUAUCCAAUUACAGAAGAUAUAAUAUAUUUCAACUUCAUUUCUCUGUUUAACGAACUUUGGUUGUGAUGUCCAUAUGCUUAUAUGCGUUAGCAUCCAAGCACAUUCACAUUUAAAGGAUUUUUUAGUCAUCUAGGGGUAUAUAGAAAUGAUAAGCCAACAGCUGCUGGGAUCAGUUUCCCCAAAUGCUGUUUGAUUUCUUGUAUGGGAGGCAUGUUCCAAAUACCAAUUGUUAAAUUUGCAGACCUUUCUCAUUAGGAACUAGCAAUGCACACUUGAGAAGAAAAACAAGAAAUGUGUUGCUUAGAUUAGGGGAAAAAAAAAGUCUUUCUCUGCAUAAAUAUUUGACACUAGAGAUGAAGAGUAACUCAAUUUGCAAGUUUAGGCAUAAGUAGUCACAUUCACUUCAGAAGCAAAUAUAGAAAAAGAAACCAUCUUAAAAGAGAGAAGGGAACGGAUGAAGUUGUUCUUAUCCAUCUUUUGAACUGGCAAAUUAUCUAAUGUAUGUGAGAUUCCAACGGCUAGAUAAAGCAAUGUUUUGCCAGACUACCUAAGGCACUCAGAGUGCACCUGGACUAGUUAAGUAGAAACAUAUAUUAUUUCAUCAUUGGUAACCAGAAAUCUUGCGGAUAAAUGGCCAUGAAGCUAGAGAUGAUUGACCAAAUAAAAGUGGAUCAUAAUAUGAAAUCUAUAGGCCUAGUUAGCUUUCCCGAGUACCUGAGCAAUUUAAUCUAGUUAAGCAGGAAAUAUGAACUCCUCAAAUGCAUAAAAAGUUCAAUAUUCAUAUUCAAAACUCUGUUUCCUCAUAUUAGCAGAAAGUAUGCAUGCUUCAUAGGGUGCACAGAAUAAUCAAAUAUGAUGUGCCCUGCACAUGAGAGAGAGAGAGAGAG